CCAGCAGAAGGGAUGAAGGGAUGAAAGAAUGAAGAUGCUGGUUGACUCUUGCAUAAGGGAUUUGGACAGGAUAGGGAUGAGCUAGAGUAGAAAGUUGUAGGCAGGAGGAAAUACAGACGAAGGAAGGAAGGCUGUUAUUGAGUUUACCAGCAGAAGGGAUGAAGGAAUGAAGGAAUGAAGAUGCUGGUUGACUCUUGCAUAAGGGAUUUGGACAGAAUAGGGAUGAGCUAGAGUAGAAAGUCAUAGGCAGGAGGAAAUACAGACGAAGGAAGGAAGGCUGUUAUUGAGUUUACCAGCAGAGGGGAUGAAAGAAUGAAGAUGCUGGGUGACUCUUGCAUAUGGGAUUUGGACAGGAUAAGGAUGAGGUAGAGUAGAAAGUUGUAGGCAGGAGGAAAUUCAGACGAAGGAAGGAAGGCUGUUAUCGAGUUUACCAGCAGAAGGGAUGAAGGAAUGAAGAUGCUGGUUGACUCUUGCAUAAGGGAUUUGGACAGGAUAAGGAUGAGGUAGAGUAGGAAGUUGUAGGCAGGAGGAAAUACAGACGAAGGAAGGAAGGCUGUUAUCGAGUUUACCAGCAGAAGGGAUGAAAGAAUGAAGAUGCUGGUUGACUCUUGCAUAAGGGAUUUGGACAGGAUAAGGAUGAGGUAGAGUAGAAAGUUGUAGGCAGGAGGAAAUACAGACAAAGGAAGGAAGGCUGUUAUUGAGUUUACCAGCAGAAGGGAUGAAAGAAUGAAGAUGCUGGUUGACUCUUGCAUAAGGGAUUUGGACAGAAUAGGGGCGAGCUAGAGUAGAAAGUUGCAGGCAGGAGGAAAUACAGACGAAGGAAGGAAGGCUGUUAUCGAGUUUACCAGGGAAGGGAUGAAGGAAUGAAGACGCUGGUUGACUCUUGCAUAAGGGAUUUGGACAGGAUAGGAAUGAACUAGAACAGAGAGUCAUAUGCAGGAGGAAAUGAAGACAUGGGAAGGAAGGCUGUUAUUGAGUUUACCAGCAGAAGGGAUGAAAGAAUGAAGAUGCUGGUUGACUCUUGCAUAAGGGAUUUGGACAGGAUAGGGACGAGCUGGAGCAGAAAGUCGCGUGAAAUAGAGAAAAAUAAAUACCAUCGCCUGUGAAGUUUCAAUCUGUUUUUAUUUUUGCUGCUUAUUUAAAGUUUGCCUCAGAACUAG